GGUGUGUGUAUAGUGUACAGGUGUGUAGUGAGCAGAGGUGUGUAUAGUGUACAGGUGUGUGUAGUGAGCAGAGCUCGGUGUGUAUAGUGAGCAGAGGUGUGUGUAUAGUGUACAGGUGUGUAGUGAGCAGAGGUGUGUAUAGUGUACAGGUGUGUGUAGUGAGUAGAGGUGUGUGUAUAGUGUACAGGUGUGUAGUGAGCAGAGGUGUGUAUAGUGUAAAGGUGUGUGUAGUGAGCAGAGCUCGAUGUAUAUAGUGUACAGGUGUAUAUAGUGUAGAGGUGUGUGUAGUGAGCAGAGUUCGAUGUAUAUAGUGUACAGGUGUGUAUAGUGAGCAAAGGUGUGUGUGUAUAGUGUACAGGUGUGUGUAGUGAGCAAAGGUGUGUGUAUAGUGUACAG